rnacentral:rRNA from 1 species
GACGUAGGGGGCGAGCGUUGUCCGGAUUUAUUGGGCGUAAAGCGCGCGUAGGCGGUCCGUUAAGUCGGAUGUGAAAAUCCGGGGCUCAACCCCGGACCUGCAUCCGAUACUGGCGGACUCGAGACAGGCAGGGGAGAGUGGAAUUCCCGGUGUAGCGGUGAAAUGCGCAGAUAUCGGGAGGAACACCGGUGGCGAAGGCGGCUCUCUGGGCCUGUCCUGACGCUCAGGCGCGAAAGCUGGGGGAGCAAACAGG